AGUGAACGCUGGCGGCGUGCCUAAUACAUGCAAGUCGAACGAUGAAGUCCUAGCUUGCUAGGAUGGAUUAGUGGCGCACGGGUGAGUAAUAUAUAGUUAAUCUGCCCUACACAGAGGAAUAACAGUUGGAAACGACUGCUAAUACCUCAUACUCCUAUUUGACAUAAGUUAAAUAGGGAAAGUCUUUUCGGUGUAGGAUGAGACUAUAUCGUCUCAGCUAGUUGGUAAGGUAAUGGCUUACCAAGGCUAUGACGCGUAACUGGUCUGAGAGGAUGAUCAGUCACAUUGGAACUGAGACACGGUCCAAACUCCUACGGGAGGCAGCAGUAAGGAAUAUUGCGCAAUGGGGGAAACCCUGACGCAGCAACGCCGCGUGGAGGAUGACACUUUUCGGAGCGUAAACUCCUUUUAUCAGGAAAGAAUAAUGACGGUACCUGAUGAAUAAGCACCGGCUAACUCCGUG
rnacentral:rRNA from 1 species